AUGGCCGAAGCGGACCUCACCGGCCUCGUCGACGACUUCUACUUCUCGGCCCUCACCCACGCCCAGAACGACGCCGACGCCGCCGAGGACGAUGAGCUCUUCCCGAUAUCCGACGAGAAGUACGCCGCCGAGCUCCAGCUCCAGGAGGUGAUCAUGUCCUCCGCCAUCGCGGCUGCCGCCACGUCGUUCCCGGCACAUCGCAGUAUCGCCACCACCAGCAGCAGCGCAGUUGUCAUGUACGGUGAGUGCUCCUCCGCCGUCGCUUCUUCAUCUUCGUGCUCUGGGCAACCCAGUAGUUCCUCCGCGACGGCGACGGCGUCGCCCGCGCUCGUGUUCUGCAAGAUCUGCAUGGACGCCGUGCCGGAGUCGGACGCGCACCGCGCGAGCCGCGGCUGCGCGCACGCCUUCUGCAGCGCCUGCCUCGCGGGCUACAUCGGCGCCAAGAUCCAGGACCGGAUCGCCGACGUCAAGUGCCCCGAGGAGCGGUGCACCGGGGUGCUCGACCCGGCGCUCUGCCAGGGCAUGCUCCCGCGGGAGGUGUUCGAGCGCUGGGGCGCCGCGCUGUGCGAGUCCAUGAUGCUCGGCGCCAAGAGGACCUACUGCCCCUUCAAGGACUGCUCGGCGAUGAUGGUGGCGGACGACGACGGCGGCGACGUGACGCAGUCCGAGUGCCAGGUGUGCCGGCGGCUGUUCUGCGCCCGGUGCGCCGUGCCGUGGCACGCCGGCGCCGACUGCGCCGCCUACAGGAAGCUCGGCAGGGGCGACAGGGGCAAAGAGGACAUGCUGCUGCUGGAGACGGCCAAACAGAAGAAGUGGAAGCGGUGCCCCAAGUGCGAGUUCUUCGUGGAGAAAACCGACGGUUGCCUCCACAUCACCUGCAGGUGCGGCUUCCAGUUUUGCUAUGGAUGUGGCAACCAGUGGGGCGUGACGCAUGCUAGCUGCAGCACGGCGUGA
rnacentral:rRNA from 1 species